GCUCUUCUUGGCGAUGUUCCUAGUAUGUUCAUUACUAAGCAUUCAAGUUGACUUGUUUAUCUUAUCCAAUUUAAUCAGUCUUACAAUAAAUUGGCCAUCAAAUUUAUCAAUAUUGUUUUUGCAGUUGUAAGAGUUUAUUUUGCACCUCUUAUGGUAUUCACUGUGCCUGCAUUUUUUACUAAUCAUAUGUUACUGUUUUCUUUUGGUCAUCCGCUUGCAACUUUUGCAAAAUUUAUUCAGAAGUGGCAAUGUGUCAAUGGUGUUUGACAUCUUCAUGGUAUUGUAUGCUUUUGAGGUGAAUAACUUUUGUGGAUUCUGCAUAUGAUAUUCUUUUGGGUGUUUGUUAACCACCAGUGAAUAUGUGUUGUACAUAUCCUGAAGCAGAGUUUUUUACUUCAAAUGAUACUAUGCACAUAGAUUGAUGGUACGAUAGAAUAAAUGCUUCAUCAGGAAAACCUUAGGUGCUAUGAAUUUAACCUAGCAGUGCUUGGCAUCUUUCUCAUUUUCUCUGGUCCACUAGAAGUUUAAAAAUCCUGGUGGUAACAAAUGAGAGCAUUUGUAUUAUUGUGGAGAAAGAUUUGUUCAAACUCUAGAAAAUGUUAAGCCUUGGGAAACACAAGCUAUUAUCAUUCUCUAAUAUUCUGAGGAGUUCAUUAAGACACAUGCAGAAUUCUGAUAGAAAUUGAUGCUAAUUGCUAUAUCAAUCUCCUGUUCUGACUAGAUAAAUCAUAGACUUAGGAAAACUAAUCUGAUAAAGUUUUUUUUUUCCUCUUUUAUAAAUGCUUGAUUAGGAAAGUUGAUUCUACACUGGUAUGAAAAUUUACGCACUUCAAUUUUGUAUUUUUCUUGGCAAUUGUGCCAAAUAUUUUUAUAUAUAUUUCUACCCUCACUCUCUCCCUUUCUCUCAGUGCUUUUCAUUUUGUUCUUGCAUUCAUUUUUGCAUUUUGUUAUUGUGUCUGCCAGGUGUGGAUGUGAAGAAGAAUGUAA
rnacentral:misc_RNA from 1 species